AAUCAACGCUGGCGGCGUGCCUCAGACAUGCAAGUCGAACGAUUAAAGCUCUCUUCGGAGAGUGCAUAGAGUGGCGCACGGGUGAGUAACACGUAAGUAAUCUACCUUCGAGUGGGGAAUAACGUCCGGAAACGGGCGCUAAUACCGCAUAAUGCAGCGGCAUCGCAAGAUGACAGUUGUUAAAGGAGCAAUCCGCUUGAAGAGGAGCUUGCGGCAGAUUAGCUAGUUGGUAGGGUAAUGGCCUACCAAGGCUACGAUCUGUAACCGGUCUUAGAGGACGGUCGGUCACACUGACACUGAAUAACGGGUCAGACUCCUACGGGAGGCAGCAGUCGGGAAUUUUGGGCAAUGGGGGAAACCCUGACCCAGCAACGCCGCGUGAAGGAUGAAGUAUUUCGGUAUGUAAACUUCGAAAGAAUAGGAAGAAUUAAUGACGGUACUAUUUAUAAGGUCCGGCUAACUACGUGCCAGCAGCCGUGGUAAUGUCUAGCAUG
rnacentral:rRNA from 1 species